rnacentral:rRNA from 1 species
AUGGCCAGCUCGACGAACAAGGCUCCGGCGAGCGGUGGCGCCCGGCGCGUGCUGUUGUUCCCGCUGCCGUUCCAGGGCCACAUCAACCCGAUGCUGCAGCUCGCCGCCGUCCUGCACGCCCGGGGCCUCCGUGUCACGGUCUUCCACUCCGCCUUCAACGCCCCGGACCCCGAGCGCCGCCCCGCGGGCUACCGCUUCGUCACCGUCGGCGCCUCAGUACCGAUCGCGGACCUCGUCCCCACCGGCAGCCACGGCAACUUCGCCGAGGCGUUGCUUCGCAUCAACGAGCGUCUCGAGGCUCCUUUCGAGGACAGCCUCCGCGAGUUGCUCCUCGAGGAGGAGGGAGCGCCGGCAUGCCUGGUGGUAGACUCCAACCUCCGGGGGAUGCAGGUGGUUGCCCACCGUCUCGGCGUGCCGACGCUGGUGCUGCGCACGGGUGCCGCCGCCUGCCUCUUGGCUUACAUGGCCUUCCCGGCGCUCUGCGAUAAGGGCGUCCUCCCGCCACAAGGCCUUUUGUGUUUCUUGUGA